CCUACGGGAGGCAGCAGUGAGGAAUAUUGGUCAAUGGUCGGGAGACUGAACCAGCCAAGCCGCGUGAGGGAUGAAGGUACAGAGUAUCGUAAACCUCUUUUGUCAGGGAACAAAGGCGGGGACGUGUCCCCGGAUGAGUGUACCUGAAGAAAAAGCAUCGGCUAACUCCGUGCCAGCAGACGCGGUAAUACGGAGGAUGCGAGCGUUAUCCGGAUUUAUUGGGUUAAAAGGGUGCGCGGGCGGUCUGUUAAGUCAGCGGUCAAAGCCCGGGGCUCAACCCGGGCCCGCCGUUGAAACUGGCAGUCGCGAGUUGGAGAGAAGUAUGCGGAAGGCGCGGUGUAGCGGUGAAAUGCAUAGAUAUCGCGCAGAACUCCGAUUGCGAAGGCAGCAUGCCGGCUCCACACUGACGCUGAGGCACGAAAGCGUGGGUAUCGAACAGGAUUAGAUACCCGUGUAGUC
rnacentral:rRNA from 1 species